UCUCUGGCUGUCCAGUGGCUAGGACUCCGUUCUCUCGAUACAGGGGGCCCAGGUUCGAUUCCUGGUCAGGGAA
rnacentral:tRNA from 1 species